rnacentral:tRNA from 1 species
AAUGAAGCGCCUGCCGAAAGGAAUAUUUUGAUAGAAUAUAUAAUGUAAUAAAUUACCUUCAUUA